GAGAGUUUGAUCCUGGCUCAGAUUGAACGCUGGCGGCAGGCCUAACACAUGCAAGUCGAGCGGUAGAGAGAAGCUUGCUUCUCUUGAGAGCGGCGGACGGGUGAGUAAUGCCUAGGAAUCUGCCUAGUGGUGGGGGAUAACGUUCGGAAACGGACGCUAAUACCGCAUACGUCCUACGGGAGAAAGCGGGGGAUCUUCGGACCUCGCGCCAUUAGAUGAGCCUAGGUCGGAUUAGCUAGUUGGUGAGGUAAUGGCUCACCAAGGCGACGAUCCGUAACUGGUCUGAGAGGAUGAUCAGUCACACUGGAACUGAGACACGGUCCAGACUCCUACGGGAGGCAGCAGUGGGGAAUAUUGGACAAUGGGCGAAAGCCUGAUCCAGCCAUGCCGCGUGUGUGAAGAAGGUCUUCGGAUUGUAAAGCACUUUAAGUUGGGAGGAAGGGCAGUAACCUAAUACGUUAUUGUUUUGACGUUACCGACAGAAUAAGCACCGGCUAACUUCGUGCCAGCAGCCGCGGUAAUACGAAGGGUGCAAGCGUUAAUCGGAAUUACUGGGCGUAAAGCGCGCGUAGGUGGUUCAGUAAGUUGGAAGUGAAAUCCCCGGGCUCAACCUGGGAACUGCUUUCAAAACUGCUGAGCUAGAGUACGGUAGAGGGUGGUGGAAUUUCCUGUGUAGCGGUGAAAUGCGUAGAUAUAGGAAGGAACACCAGUGGCGAAGGCGACCACCUGGACUGAUACUGACACUGAGGUGCGAAAGCGUGGGGAGCAAACAGGAUUAGAUACCCUGGUAG
rnacentral:rRNA from 1 species